rnacentral:rRNA from 1 species
CUACGGGCUGCUCCAGUGAGGAAUUUUGCGCAAUGGGGGAAACCCUGACGCAGCAACGCCGCGUGAGCGAAGAAGGCCGUCGGGUCGUAAAGCUCUGGCAAGUGGGAAAAAAAUUCUUUGAUGAACAGUCAAAGGACUUGAUGGUACCACUGGAGGAAGCACCGGCUAACUCCGUGCCAGCAGCCGCGGUAAUACGGAGGGUGCAAGCGUUGUUCGGAAUUACUGGGCGUAAAGAGCGUGUAGGCGGUUUGACAAGUCAGAUGUGAAAGCCCCGGGCUCAACCCGGGAAGUGCAUUUGAAACUGUUUCACUAGAGUAUGGGAGCGGGUAUUGGAAUUCCUGGUGUAGAAGUGAAAUUCGUAGAUAUCAGGAGGAACACCCGUGGCGAAGGCGAUUCUCUGGACCAAUACUGACGCUGAGACGCGAAAGCGUGGGGAGCAAACAGGAUUAGAUACCCCCGUAGUC